rnacentral:rRNA from 1 species
CCCUUAGAUGUUCUGGGCCGCACGCGCGCUACGCUGAUGCAUUCAACGAGCCUAGCCUUGACCGAGAGGUCCGGGUAAUCUUUGAAACUGCAUCGUGAUGGGGCUAGAUUAUUGCAAUUAUUAAUCUUCAACGAGGAAUGCCUAGUAAGCGUGAUUCAUCAAAUCGCGUUGAUUACGUCCCUGCCCUUUGUACACACCGCCCGUCGCUCCUACCGAUUGAGUGUGUUGGUGAGGAGUUCGGAUUGGCUCUUAGUGGUGGUUCGCCACCACCUAGAGCUGAGAAGUUCUCCAAACCGCCCCACUUAGAGGAAGGAGAAGUCGUAACA